ensembl:snoRNA U3 Small nucleolar RNA U3
UAGCGUGGACUUCAUCAAAACUAAGGGAUCAUUUCUAUAGCUCAUAGCUAGAGAAGUUUCUCUGUGUAGAGUAUAGAAACCACAAGGAUGAGACAUAGUGCUCCCUCAUGAGCAUGAAGCUGGCUCUUGGUGUUGCUUUUUUUUGCAACUGCCUUUUGCCAUUGAUGAUCACUCUUCUCUUCAUUUGGAGGACUUAGAGGGAGGGAACACAGUCUGAGUGGU